rnacentral:rRNA from 1 species
GGCGAUCAGAUACCGCCCUAGUUCUAACCGUAAACGAUGACAACCAGCGAUUCGUCGGCGUUAAUAUAUGACCCGACUAGCAGCUUCCGGGAAACCAAAGUUUUUCGUUUCCGGGGGAAGUAUGGUUGCAAAGCUGAAACUUAAAGGAAUUGACGGAAGGGCACCACCAGGAGUGGAGCCUGCGGCUUAAUUUGACUCAACACGGGAAAACUCACCCGGCCCGGACACCGUAAGGAUUGACAGACUGAGAGCUCUUUCUUAAUUCGGUGGGUGGUGGUGCAUGGCCGUUCUUAGUUGGUGGAGCGAUUUGUCUGGUUAAUUCCGAUAACGAACGAGACUCUGGCCUACUAAAUAGUCGAUAUAUAGAAAGGUAUAUCGUACUUCUUAGAGGGACAAGCGGCGUCUAGCCGCAUGAAAUAGAGCAAUAACAGGUCUGUGAUGCCCUUAGAUGUCCGGGGCUGCACGCGCGCUACACUGAAAGAAUCAGUGUGUGUUAUUCCUAGUUUGGAAGAACCGGGUAACCCAAGUAAAUUCUUUCGUGCUUGGGAUAGGGAAUUGCAAUUAUUUCCCUUAAACGAGGAAUUCCCAGUAAAUGCGGGUCAUAAGCUCGCGUUGAUUACGUCCCUGCCCUUUGUA